UCAACUAUGUUGAUUGUAAUUAUGAAGUAAAAAUGUAAAUGUUUCUAGAUACUGAUCCUGGAACAGAUUGAUUGCUUAUUUGCAAAUCAUUUUUUAUAUUGUUGUCAUUACCUUGGUUGAACAUCCCAAGAAGCUGGUCUCAUUGGCUGUUGGUUUAUCAGCCUGGGCCAUCACAACUUUUGGCCCCCAAGGUGUUGGCUCCUCUUGUUUUCUCUGUCCAGAGACAACCCGAGCAGUUGGCUGGUUCACCUUCUACAAUGAGAAACGGCCACUCAUCAACACACAGAGUCUUGUCAUCCCCCUCCGGUUGAGCAAACUGCAAAGACAUAACGCUGCCCUCCAGAGUGGCUGGCACAGCAGCUUCUGGAACAGGUCGAGGAGGAGGUACGCCCUCCAGAGUAGCUGGUACAGCAGCUUCUGGAACAGGUCGAGGGGGAGGUACCAGCUUCGAAGGUUUGGCAAUCCUUGCUGGAGUUUGAAGUGCCUGGAAAAUAAUUGUAAAUCAUUGGCAAAACAAUACCUACACAGAGAAUGUUGGACUAUCUCUUGUGUUAAAGGCGAAAUCAGAAAAUAGUUGUUCCUGUGUUUCAA